CCUACGGGGGGCAGCAGUGGGGAAUCUUGCGCAAUGGCCUAACGGCUGACGCAGCGACGCCGCGUGAGGGAUGACGCUCUUCGGAGUGUAAACCUCUUUUGCCUGAGACGCUGUAUCGGGUGAAUAAGCACCGGCUAACUCCGUGCCAGCAGCCGCGGUAAUACGGGGGGUGCGAGCGUUGUCCGGAAUCACUGGGCGUAAAGGGCGCGUAGGUGGCCUGAUAAGGGUGUGGUGAAAGUCCGGGGCUCAACCCCGGAUCGGCCGUGCCGACUGUUAGGCUAGAGUACUGUAGGGGCAGGCGGAAUUCCGGGUGUAGCGGUGGAAUGCGUAGAGAUCCGGAGGAAGACCGGUGGCGAAGGCGGCCUGCUGGGCAGUACUGACACUGAGGCGCGACAGCGUGGGGAGCAAACAGGAUUAGAUACCCUUGUAGUC
rnacentral:rRNA from 1 species